GGCAGGCCUAAUACAUGCAAGUCGAGCGCGCCCUUCGGGGUGAGCGGCGGACGGGUGAGUAACGCGUGGGAAUAUGCCCUUCUCUAAGGAAUAGCCUCUGGAAACGGAGAGUAAUACCUUAUACGCCCUUCGGGGGAAAGAUUUAUCGGAGAAGGAUUAGCCCGCGUUAGAUUAGGUAGUUGGUGGGGUAAUGGCCUACCAAGCCUACGAUCUAUAGCUGGUUUGAGAGGAUGAUCAGCCACACUGGGACUGAGACACGGCCCAGACUCCUACGGGAGGCAGCAGUAGGGAAUCUUAGACAAUGGGGGCAACCCUGAUCUAGCCAUGCCGCGUGUGUGAUGAAGGCCCUAGGGUCGUAAAGCACUUUCGCCAGAGAUGAUAAUGACAGUAUCUGGUAAAGAAACCCCGGCUAACUCCGUGCCAGCAGCCGCGGUAAUACGGAGGGGGUUAGCGUUGUUCGGAAUUACUGGGCGUAAAGCGCACGUAGGCGGAUUAGUAAGUUAGAGGUGAAAUCCCAGGGCUCAACCCUGGAACUGCCUUUAAUACUGCUAGUCUUGAGUUCGAGAGAGGUAAGUGGAAUUCCGAGUGUAGCUCGUGUCGUGAGAUGUUCGGUUAAGUCCGGCAACGAGCGCAACCCACAUCUUUAGUUGCCAGCAGGUUAAGCUGGGCACUCUAGAGAAACUGCCCGUGAUAAGCGGGAGGAAGGUGUGGAUGACGUCAAGUCCUCAUGGCCCUUACGGGUUGGGCUACACACGUGCUACAAUGGCAGUGACAAUGGGUUAAUCCCCAAAAGCUGUCUCAGUUCGGAUUGGGGUCUGCAACUCGACCCCAUGAAGUCGGAAUCGCUAGUAAUCGCGUAACAGCAUGACGCGGUGAAUACGUUCCCGGGCCUUGUACACACCGCCCGUCACACCAUGGGAGUUGGUUCUACCCGACGACGCUGCGCUAACCCUUCGGGGAGGCAGGCGGCCACGGUAGGAUCAGCGA
rnacentral:rRNA from 1 species